GUGUGUGAGGGCAUGAGCGCUCCGUGACAAGUUAUGCGGAACUUGUGCCUCCUCCUCAGCAUGUCUGUGUUGUGGUUUCCUAUUUACUGACACUUCAUGAACCAGGUUCAGACCGACUCCGCGGAGCGUUCAGGGUCUGACAGCGACUGAGCGGCGGGAGGUGAGCAUGUACAGCCGGGAUGACUGAGCGCAAGUGUUGACAUCAAAUUAGAGUGCAAAGAUUAAAACUAUGAAUUUAUUACAGCAUUUUUGCUGGUCAGUGUUGAUAUGAAGUAGGCGUGAGUGUUUUUAAACCUCCUUGUUUUAUAUUUUUCGCUUCUUGAGUGCUUUUUUUUACUUGUCGCGCGACGCUAAACUAGCUAAUAAAAAUGAAGUUUAACGGUUAUCUGAAGCUCCGGAUCGGCGAGGCGGUGGACCUGACGCCGACCACCUUCUCCCUCCGUCACGCUGUCAUCUUCAACAAAGCCCCCCCAGCCUUAGACCCCUACGUCGUGGUGAAGGUGGACGAGGUGAAAAUUGGACAAACUCUCACCAAACAGAAAACCAACACGCCGACGUUCAACGAGGAGUUUUGCCUCAACGUGUCCGACGGGAAACAGAUCGAGUUGGCCGUUUUCCACGACACACCGAUCGGAUACGAUGACUUUGUGGCCAACUGCAUCAUCCAGUUUGAGGACCUCAUCAAAACCUCCAACACAGGAGAGACUUUCGAGGGAUGGAUGGAUUUGGAGCCAGAGGGUAAAGUUUACGUCCACAUUACGCUCACUGGAUCCUUCACUGAUGAUGAUGCCAUAGUGAAAGAGAAGAAAUACAAGCAGUUUACAAGGAAGCGUCACGGGGCAGUGAAACGAAGGAUCCACCAAGUCAACGGACACAAGUUCAUGUCCACUUUCCUCCGUCAGCCCACCUUUUGUUUUCACUGCAAAGAGUUCAUCUGGGGUGUUUUUGGAAAGCAGGGUUACCAGUGCCAAGUGUGUACCUGCGUGGUUCACAAACGAUGCCACCAGCAGGUCGUUACUGUUUGUCCUCGCAUGAAGAAGCCGGCAAAAGAUCAGCCUGUAACCCAAGGCUUCAGCAUCAACGUGCCUCACAUGUUCAACAUCCACAACUACAAGUCGCCCACCUUCUGUGACCACUGCGGCUCACUGCUGUGGGGAAUAGUCCGUCAGGGGCUGCACUGUAAAAUCUGCAAAAUGAAUGUUCAUAUCCGCUGCAAAGGCAACGUCGCUCCCAGCUGUGGGGUCAACAGUGUCGAACUGGCCAAUGCGCUUGCAGAAAUGGGUCUACAGGCUGGAGGACUCUCUAAACGCAACUCAGUGGCCAGUGCCAGUCAGGUGAGGGUGCCUUCUCAAAGAAGAGAGAGUACUCCCACUCAGCAGGAGACGCCUCGGCUGGGCAUCUCAGACUUCACGUUCCUUCAAGUUCUUGGCAAAGGCAGUUUUGGCAAGGUGAUGCUGGCGAAACUAAACAGCAAAGAUCGGGUUUUUGCGGUCAAAGUGUUGAAGAAGGACAUAAUUUUGCAGGAUGACGAUGUGGAGUGCACCAUGACUGAAAAGAGGGUGCUGUCUCUGGCCCGCUGUCACCCCUACCUCACACAGCUGUACUGCUGCUUCCAGACGCCGGAUCGUCUCUUCUUUGUGAUGGAGUUUGUGAAUGGAGGUGAUCUUAUGUUCCACAUUCAGAAGUCCAGGAAGUUUGAAGAGCCAAGAGCACGUUUCUACACAGCAGAGAUCACCUCUGCUCUCAUGUUCCUGCACAACAAAGGCAUCAUCUACAGGGAUCUAAAACUGGACAAUGUUCUUCUUGACAAAGACGGUCACUGUAAGCUGGCGGACUUUGGCAUGUGCAAAGAGGGCAUAUUUGAAGGCGGCGCCGCCACAGGUACUUUCUGUGGAACCCCAGAUUACAUCGCCCCUGAGAUCCUGCAGGAGAUGCUGUAUGGGCCCUCUGUCGAUUGGUGGGCUCUCGGGGUGCUGCUGUAUGAAAUGCUGUCGGGGCACGCCCCCUUUGAGGCCGAAAAUGAAGACGACCUCUUUGAAUCCAUUCUCAAUGAAGAGAUUGUUUACGCGUCGUGGCUCAGCACAGAGGCAGUGAAUAUACUCAAAGCUACUGACUGACACCCUCUGACUGCAGAGUGACUGGAAGCCCUACGGAGCUCUGGCUGCCAGCUGUUUGGCCCAGCCUGGGUCUCUUACAUAACUAUAUUAAGGCAUGGUCCGCUGGCCAGCCACAGCACACAGGCUAUAAAUACGAAGACACCUCCUCCUCCUCCUCCUCCUCCUUCUCCUCCUCCUCCUCCUCCUCCCAUCUUUGCACCCAGUUCUCCUCUUAUCCUUGCUGUUAUUCCAACAUGCUUGAGGAAGCACAGGGCCGAUCUCCCCUGGUGAUUUGUGUCACUGCUGCCAGUGUCACACGUUACGUAAAGAUGCUUGGCGGUGUGAGAGGAUUUGAGCGCUGCUGCACUAUUUAUACUGAAGGUUGAUCCGCUGCAUGGUUCUCCUCGUUCCUAUGAGCAAGGUCAUGGAGUUCAUUUGAGUUAGUUAUGAAUGAUUACUUUUUCAGUAAUAACUGAGGUUUAUUUUUAGAGGUUUGUGUAAAGUUGCUCAACAAAUAGGUGGAUGUUGAUUACCAGAAGCUAUUAAUUAAGGCUUUAACAAAUUAUUACUUUCAUUGUUGUUUUUUGAUUUAUCAGUUAAUCUUUUAAUCUAUAUAAAAUCAGAAAACGCUUUUAAUUGCCCAUCACUAUAUCCCAGGAAAGAAAGAAAGAUUCAGUUUCAUUUAAUGAUAUAACACACACAUUACAGAAGCUGGGAGCAGCAGGUAUUUGAGAUUUUUGCUUUAAAUGCAAACUGAUUAAUCUAUUAAAUCAAAAUUUGUUCAUUAGUUUACUUAUUUUCUGCCAAACCCCCUUUAAAAAAUAUGACAUAUUAACUAUUCCAUACAUGUCAGCAAAAACACAUAACUCUAGAAACACAAGAUAAAAGGCCUCAUGUGACUUCAGCAUUCAAUUUCAAUUCUGCAUCAAUAUAAUUUUGCGUACAGAUUUUACAUUUUGGAGUUUGUUGCCUCAACUAGCUACCAGCAUCCGUUGGUUAGCUGUGCUGUUUUCGUUGUAGGAGACAGUGGGAAUGAGAGGCGAACCAUUUCGAAAAUUAAGAUUUCUCAGUAAAAUAAGUUCUGGUUGCCCAAUUAUAUCCUAAACCUUAUUCACUACAAGAGUUUCUUCUCCUUUUCCACAGUACCAGAGAACUGAGACUUAGUCACAUUCUUGCGCCUCCCUGGAGUCUCCUCUGUAUUUACUGUCUGCCCGCUUUACUGCUGUUUGGCGCCGGAGAGAGCGCAGCUAUUAGUUGUUUACAAAGUUAAUUUCAUUGAAUUAUUUGCAUGAGCAAGAGACAAAAUACAAAAGACAAAAAACGUAUGAUAAUACUAAAAUUGUUUGAUUUUAUCGGAAAGUCAAGUUGAAAAAAAAAAGUCUGACUUAAGACAGCUCAGACAGAGUUUUUUGAUGACCUUACACCAAACGAACUCUAACGAUUAAACUCCAACUGGAAAUUUUUCUGCAACAGUAAAAUCGUUUGAAAAGUCAUUUGGUGUAAGGUUGGCACAAAGAUUUCAGCAGAACUCAUUUCUGAUUUCUUUGUGUCUUUCCGCUGCUGUUGUGGAAAAUGGGCACUUCAUGUAGCAACGCUGACAUGGCAGGCCUGGUGCUCAGGAUGGCACAACUGACGUGUAAACUGUGGAAAGAAGUUGCCAUCAGAUUCCGUGCAGCAGUUUUUUUUUAAGUUUUGUGGUCUGUGAGCUCCUGAACUGAUUGACCCCUGCUGGUCUGUCUAACUCAGUCAUUUCCACUUCAAGGCCCAUACUGGUGCUGCUGGUAUGUGUUUGUUUGUUUUUUUUUUUAAAUGUUUUUGCAUAUAAAAUACAAAUCAGGUCAUCACAAUCAUGCUCACGCCUGCAAAUACUUGUGUGAGCAUUGCACUGUAAUGUUUCGAACCCGAAAAACAUUCCACAGCAAUGUUAACAGCAAUGUUUUAUCUGUGUCAAUGCAGAAUUCAAGUCUAUACAAGGUUAUGGUGUUCUUACAUCAACUGAAAACCAAAGCUGCUUAGAAGCUGUUGUUUGCUUUUGGAAAUGUGUAUAUGUGUGAGUUUAAUUCAUUUUCAGAGUUAUUUAUGAGGACUAAACUACACAGAACCAAGUUCUUUUAAAUUCAUCCCCUCUUGAUCGUUUCAUUUUCUCUUUUGUGCUGUUCUUUAUCUGCAUUGACGUCUCUCUAAUCUCCUUUCUCUUUCUCUGUGAUCUUAGUUUUGCUGAGGCAUGUAGUGUUAUUUAAGCCUCUGGUUCUUAAUAGUGUUUGGAGCUGAUACAGUAAUUCAUAUUGAUCUUUUUCAAACGCUUUGGGUAAAUCUGGCCACUGUCGCUGUGGAGACGGUGGCCUGUUAUUUUGUUGUGGCCUCGUCUGAAUGUCACCGUCAGCCCUUAGGUGUACACAGACUCCUCGGCCAAGAGAGAGCCGUCCAAAACACAUUUGUUUUCUUAGAGUCCUCCCAGAGGCAAGUUAAAACAAAGUUUCUCAAUUUUGAGUUUGUUUUAUUUAGACCUCUCCCUGUGGCCUUUACCACCCACCACUACUUUGGUGGCAGAGACACAGUUGGAGUUCAACAGGUGAUUCACUGUUCUAUUGUUUUAUUGUGUUCAGCACCAGGAAGUUGAGACACCAGAGUUGCACUUGACUGGACUCAGCUGAACUCUUUUCAACUUUUGCAUUGUGGGAGGUGCCUGAUACAAUCCAGGGUGUGUUUUUUGUGUUUGGAGGCGGGUAGUGACUGGAUGUUACACUGGCUCAAAUCCAGUUUGGCAAUACUCCCAAAAAUUCCUGGUCUGAUCUAGUUUAUAACCGUCACAUUUCCUCACAUUGUACACAUCAUCACCAACCUGCUGAAAUUCACUAUUGACCAAAAACCCCACCCGGCGUCUGGGCUGUGUGCCCUCAGAGGGUGGAGAGAGCGCUGUGACCAGCCAUGCCUUCUUCACUGGCAUCGAUUGGGAGAAGCUGAACUGUAGAGAAAUAGAGCCCCCUUUCAAACCCAGGAUC